GGUGGAGCAUGUGUUUAAUUCGACGCAACGCGAAGAACCUUACCAGGGCUUGACAUCCUCUGACCGCAUAUGAAAGUAUGUUUUCUGGCUUCGGUCAGACAGAGAGACAGGUGGUGCAUGGUUGUCGUCAGCUCGUGUCGUGAGAUGUUGGGUUAAGUCCCGCAACGAGCGCAACCCCUACGUUUAGUUGCUAACGUGUAACGAUGAGCACUCUAGGCGGACUGUCGUUGACAAAACGGAGGAAGGUGGGAUGACGUCAAAUCAUCAUGCCCCUUAUGUUCUGGGCUACACACGUGCUACAAUGGCCGGUACAAAGGGACGCAAAGCCGCGAGGUGGAGCAAAUCCGAUAAAAGCCGGUCUCAGUUCGGAUUGCAGGCUGCAAUUCGCCUGCAUGAAGUCGGAAUCGCUAGUAAUCGCAGGUCAGCAUACUGCGGUGAAUACGUUCCCGGGCCUU
rnacentral:rRNA from 1 species